rnacentral:lncRNA from 7 species
GCAGAUUCAGAACUUGCAAUGCAGGAGAAGAGAGGAUAUAGAGGAGCUCUUCAGGAAAUGAAAAUUAACAUUAUGAUUCAUAUUUUCAAAAGAAGUCUGCUACUUUUAGGUAUAAUGGCAUCUCAUGUCUGAUGACACUUUUAGGACAGGACAGAGAGGUGCAGCUAGCAUGUGGUGGCUCUGAGGACGCCUGUGUUGCUCCCAGCUCUUCUGGGGAUACAGAAGAGAGAAUAUGAGGAUAUCUGUAUGAGGAGCUGUCAGUCUUUUAGGCUGUGAUUUUGUUUUUCUUCCCUGAUGACAGAGCUUGCUGUGUCCUCCUGGCAAUCACUAUUGGGCUUAAUCAUCACUUAAAUUGCAAGUUUGUUACUCUCCUGAGUCUUCAUGCCCAUGAACAGUUUUGUAGUUGCUUCUCCCUGCUCAGACUAAGACAUUCAAACUCCUCCUUCACUUUCCUUUGCUUGAUCUCCUCAGUUGCUGACAUAUGCUAACUUGACUCAAGCUUGUCACUAGCCUAAAUAAUCGUAACAAUUGCUGACCUUCAUUUAAUGUCUUCAAAGAGGGGAUUUUGCUAAUUUUUUGCUAUCUGAAAGGUUGGAAGUAUCUAUGUUAUUUGUUAGGAUGGUUAUUCAAGUCUAUUUCAGAAGUGUUGCAGAUGAUAGAUCUCUGGUAGAAUCCUGUUUUUAAUUAAUUUAACUUAAUCUACUUAAUGGAUUUACUUGUAAGUUACCAGAAAAUUCAUUCAGAGCUUAUGUGCUGUAAGUCUGGAGAUGAUACACAUAGUCUUUUUACACACUGCAUAGAGGCUGAGUCCUUAUUUUUUAAAAAUAGCAAUGUUUUGGGACUGUACUGAGCAGUGUAUUUGCAGUGUUUCCUACAAAUAGCACUAGAUCCAUCAUAAGGUUGCAAAGCCAGCCAGUUUAAAUUUGGUAAGUUGCUGAAUUUAAGCUGAUUAUAGUAUAACACAAUCCCAAUUCAGAUUUUUUUUCAGGUGACCAUGACACUUUCAGUGCUAGAGUAUUUACUUUUAGCUAACAAACAUUAAUUUUACUCUCAUUGCUCACAGGUCAGAAAGUUCAGUAUUUACUGAAUAUUAAUCAAAUCCUUAUAAAAACACAAUUAUUAGUUUCCCUUUAGGUUUUGCUGUCUAUGGCACUCAUUACAGUACCAUGCGAGUACUUCACACUUUUCUCCAGCAGCAUUUAUUUUUAUUCACGUUCUCCAGAUGGAAAUUGAGACAGAGUGAUUUAGAUGCAAAUUGUUUAUUCAUUUUGUGUUGGGCUUUAUAAAUUAAAUAGUUUUCAUCGUUGCUAAUUUUAGCUGCAAGUAUUUAGCACAUCUGAUCAGAUACUUAAGAAGUAGGAAGUAAUUUAUGAACCCACAUCACACAUGUGACUUAUCUUGCAGCAUGCUAUCUGAGGACUGUCACGGGGAAAAGAAAUAUGGUUUUCUGGGGUAUUCUUGAUUACCUUAAGCAUGAGUCUGUCCCCUCCUCUUCAUAAUAUCUGCUAUUUACCAUCCAGCCUAGGUAGUAAAUGGGGGAAUAUUUUGAGGAACCAAGUAAAAGCCAUGAAAUUCAAACUAGCAUAUAAUAUAUAUAUAUAUAUAUAUAAACAGAAGAAUUGCUAU